rnacentral:snRNA from 1 species
AGUUUUGCGCAGUGGCAGUGUCGUAGCCAAUGAGGUUUAUCCGAGGCGCGAUUAUUGCUAAUUGAAACAAAACCAGAUGCCCAUGGCCUUAGGAAAUGAGGGGAUUUGCUGUGUGCUACAAAUAUAUCCAGACCGAGGAGCAAGAAGUUAUGCAAAGCCUGGAGGU